UUGAAUCAGGUCGUAAGAGCCACCUAAGAUUUGAGAGACAUGGGCACGGUUGAACAAAGUGUACAUGUAGCCUACCUAAAAAUCCAGAAAAAUCAGGUAAAAUAACAUUAAGAAAUAUUUUUGCUUUUCAUUGUCUAGGUGUCAUUUGAACAUACACUGGAGAAGGAGCCUCAGAUUCCUUGAGACUGUUUAUUUUUUUGUGUCCCUCUUCCUCCAACUCUGUUUCCUGGAUUUUCUUGGUUUCUCUUGAGGUAUUCCCAGGACUGUAGAGUUGAAUGUGUGUGCAGCAUUUUCCCUACAGAUCACUCAGGCUCUUCGUUAUUCCUCAGAAUAGUGAAAAUCAUGCACCAACUCUCUUCCAAAAAUUUGGGAAGGAAGAAAUUUUUUGUGUGGGAAUGAGGCUUCUACCCCUGGGAUAGCACCAGAUACAGAACUGCGCUUCUUCAUGCGACUGUGGACUAUCAUAAUUCCUUUGGACUUUUGUCUAUUGGGACAAAAAGUGCCAAGCCUCACUUAGAAAGUUCAGGCAGCACAUCUGGAAUUAGGAAGGAUCAAAAGUAGAGGCAAAAAAAAGCCACAAGUUGGGUAAUAGAAAUAAAGUCUCAACAUGGAUUUUGGCAAGGAGGAGAAAGACUUGAAGCAGCAGAGUAACACCUUGACCUGCAGACCUUCACACAGGAAUUCAGGCAGAUUAAGAAACCUGUGAUAGGUACACUCUAGAAUCAUGCAGCUUAUCCCACAUUGGUGAUGCUUUUUUCAACCUCAGAACAUUAAAAAAGAAGCAAAUAAAAACCUAAACCUGCUUUAAUCAAGGAAAG